AUUGAACGCUGGCGGAAUGCUUUACACAUGCAAGUCGAGCGGCAGCGCGGCCUUCGGGCUGGCGGCGAGCGGCGAACGGGUGAGUAAUGCAUCGGAACAUGCCCAGUCGUGGGGGAUAACACUUCGAAAGAAGUGCUAAUACCGCAUACGUCCUGAGGGGGAAAGCGGGGGAUCGCAAGACCUCGCGCGAUUGGAGUGGCCGAUGUCAGAUUAGCUAGUUGGUGGGGUAAAGGCCUACCAAGGCGACGAUCUGUAGCUGGUCUGAGAGGAUGAUCAGCCACACUGGGACUGAGACACGGCCCAGACUCCUACGGGAGGCAGCAGUGGGGAAUUUUGGACAAUGGGGGCAAGCCUGAUCCAGCCAUGCCGCGUGAGUGAAGAAGGCCUUCGGGUUGUAAAGCUCUUUCGGCAGGAACGAAACGGUGGGCUCUAACAUAGUCCGCUAAUGACGGUACCUGAAGAAGAAGCACCGGCUAACUACGUG
rnacentral:rRNA from 1 species